AGCACAAGUGUUACCAGACACCAGGAGGAAGGUCCUGUGGUGAGAAUAAGGAAGGUGUUUGGAGGAGGCCAUGGGGAAGUAGCCCAGGGAGCUGUAGCUCUCAUGCAGCUGUUAAAGGAGGCACUAUAGACAGCUGCAGUCCACAGGGCUCUGGGCUGGAACCCGGAGUAGAGGACGGGCCCAGGUUCCCCCCAACUUCCCAAAUGACCUGGACUGUGGGUUCUCCAAGGUCUCUGGGCUGUUCCCCAACCCACAUGGAGAAUCUCUGAGGCAAGAAAAUCCGCCAGUAAGUGCAGGACCCACCAAGAUAGAGGAGGAACUUUGUCACAACUGGUAAGAACUGGCCUGAAAAGCUGCCCUUGAUCCUGGCUGCCAUCCGCAGCAGUGCCAGGCUGAGAACAAAAAUCCAGCCAUACUAAAUUUUGUUGAGGCAACCGAUGCCGUUAAUAAUUGAUCCUGAAUGCCUCACUAGAGAUUCUGAGGAAUGCCCUAUGACAACACAGCAAGGUCCAUAGAUUUCUAUGGGAACGUAUUACUAUAAAAGAAGGGUGUAUUGCCAUGGGACUUUGGGUUCAUGCUGCAUCAACAUCGGAACUUCGAAUGCAUUCGACAGAGACCCAACUCCCCUCCCUCGUGUGCAGUUUCAGCUGCCCACUGGAACUGACCCAGCAACACUAAGGACUGACAAUCUGAGUGACCUGUCAGAGGAGGAGAAGGAGAAGGAGCUGUCCAUGCAGGAGGAGGAUACUGAUGAGGACCCAGCCACAGAGUAGAAGGACCUGACCAUGGUGGAAGAGGAAGAGGGAGAGGAGGACUUGCCAACAUAGAAGGUGGAGAAGAUGAGAAGCAGGACCACAGAGGAAGAGGAGGAGGAGCUGGCUAUGGAGAAGGAUGUUGAUGAUGAGGUCCUGGCUAUGACAGAGAACAGGAGAAGGGGGAGGAUCUGUCUCCAGUGGAGAAGGAGGAGCUAGGCACAGAAAAGAAGGAGCACCCAGCUAGAGAGGAGGAGGAAGACAACAUGGCCAUGCAGGAGGAGGAAGAGGACCUGUCCACAAAGGAGGUGCAGGAAGAGGAGGAAUUGACCACUGAGUAGGAUGAAGAGGAAGAGGACCUGGCCAUGGAAGGAGAGGAGAAGGAGGAGUAUCUGGCCAUGGAGGAUGCUGCCCAGAAGGUUGUCAUGGAGCAUUUCCUGGGUGGAGCCCUGAGUGAGAACAGAGUCCAUCCUGCCCCUCAUCCCAUCCCCGCUCCCGGUGGGGUCUCGUCCCGAAUGAUCCACAGCCUCCUAAUGGGGACACUUAUCUGCUAGGAUCUGGAACUCCUUAGAAAGGGACAUUUGUUCCACACAAUCCAGGGUCCCCUCCCCACACAGGCCAUGUCCCAGCUCCUGUCCCUGCCUCUGCUGGAGGAGGUGUUGGUUUUGGGAAAGGGCCUUUCCUAGCCUCCCCCACGGUGGGCAUGAGACCCGGAGCCGGUUUGAAUGUCCCUGGCUAUCAGACUCUCUAUGUCCCCCUCCCAUCGCGCAGGGUUCAGGACAUGGGUGAGCAGAUCCACUUUCUGCACGUCAUUCCCUGUGCACUUCGCAGCACAGAAGAGUAGGCAGGAUAUCCUGGAGAUGUCCAGCUCUAAAGCGGCCUGGAGAAAAGGGUCAUGGAUCUAACUGAGGAGCUGCCUCAGGUCCAGCUCUGUCUUUUCCAGCUCCAUGGUCACCGUGUGCAACCUCAGGUACCAGAAUCUCCUUCCCGACUCCCCCAGGCCCAGAGCCACCUCCUCCUCCACGGUCAAGUUCUCCUUCACCUCCUGCACAGCCUGCACCAAUGGGAAUAAGGAUCAAAUUCCUCGCCUCCCUCCGUAACCAGCCGCUGCUCUGCCCCCGUGCCAUGGCGACUCUAGCCACGCCGGCUAUGAGCACUUGCUGUUCCAGCAGGAUUAGUGUUGUGGUCCCCCCAUGAGGCCAUUGCUCGGUGCUCCUGUCACAGAGAGGCGUGGCCAACGCUCUGAGCAGAGAAACAAAAUUAACAUAAUCAAGAGUUAAAUUCUUAACUGUAUUCUUGGCUUCAGGGGCAUCUGCAGAUGAAACUUUAAUGUAGCCUAAGACCGAUUCUGGAAUUCCAGAAAAGCAGCAUAACACGCCCUGGAGAAUCACGUGGACUUUGAACACAGGAGGAAGGGAAGCCAAAUGCUGAGCAUCUCAACUUUGACUGUGUCCCUGUACGGUUGGUUUGUCCUUUUAAAAGAUUAUUUCACCCUCUCCUAGCUUAACAGCAGGGCUGGAGGCCUCUCCAUCUGCUGGGCUCAAAGCUAUAAUUGAGAAUUAGAUUUGGUGUUCUGCACCCUCACAGCAAAGCAGCAUCCACAAUAGGGCUGGCCUAAGGGAGAUGAGUACACAUUACGAGACUAAGAUCUCACUACAGCAUGCCACUUUUACCCCUAGGCAAGUGCACUGUCUGCACUGGGGUUACGCCUGGUUUACACUGAUGUGAGAGCAGGAUAUGGCCUCCUCUGUUCUCACCUACUAUGGCAAUUAAUGCUGAGACCUGAACGUGGUACCGUCCCUUGUGCAUGCCAAUGUGACACAACACAUUUGCUGUAUUCUCAAUAAAUGAGUGCAGCAGUUAGCACAGCCGUUUCAUUUUCAGCCCCGUCCAAUGCCCUGCUGGCGGUGGGAAGGUAACGGGAAGCACAUUUCAAGGUACAGCAGUGAAGGGCUGAAGUGGAGCCUAGUCAUGGACCUGCAGUUACUUCCUCAGAUUGGUGUGAGUGGAUCAGGCUGGGAGGGAAGGGGCAGAAACUGACCACACUGAACACAUGGGUUCUUCAGAACCUCCUUCCUUGUCUGUGAGAUCGGCACUGAGCACCCUUUGGACUCUGCCAGGCCCAGUGCCACUCCCAGCACUGUCUGAGGGCGCGGUCCCAAGGACGGAGCCGGCUUUGUGCCCACCGCACAGAUCGUCUGGGAAAGCAAGCCCUUCGCCUAAGGCUGCAGCAUGCAUGCUGCUCUGGCUAGAGGUUUGGAAGGAGGUGAGGAAUCCUUCGCACAAGGGUCAUGCUCCUUGGGUCACCUCAGCAGCAACGUUCUUCCCUGCAGUUUGCAUGAGGCUCUGCAGGCAUCUCUGUCCUCAUUCAAAGGGCCUCUUUACAGAGUGACAAGGAAGGGAAGGUCAGUGCCUGCAGUCCCACUCCCCGAGCGCCCCUUCUGCCUCCCUCACACUCUCUUCCUUCGUUCCUUGCUCAUCCAGAGGAUGCCAGCCAUGGCUGCCUCCUGCAGAGGGGGUUUCCCACACUGCCUGGUGUUGGGCUGGGCCAUACCAGCAGCCAGCCCCAUCAGCUGUUGGCCUGGAUGCAAGCUGGUAGCACAGCCUGGAAUCCAAACCGAGCCAAAGGAAUGAUGCUUCAUGAGCCAGAAGCAAAUGGAAGUGACAAGCAGAGGACUUGCCCAGAGUGAGGGACCGCGCGCUCUGAGGAGGAGGACUGCAGCCUGAAUCUAUUUCAGGUGAGCACCGAAAGGCUUGUCUGGGUUUCGACUGCAGCUCCUACACGUGACAAGCACCAGCUGGGAUUUCAUGGAGUUUCCCCAGGUACUUGGGUGCUUCCUUGGCUGGGUGGGCACUGGGGGCCCACCUGGAGGAGGCCUCUGUGUACCUGUCUGAGAGGCUGUGAUCCAGGACCUGCAUUCUGAGCUCUGCUCAGCCGCACUUCCCCAUUGCACCUCAUCUCUGGGCCCUGUGCACGCAGAUAAACCAGCUCAGCACGGUCAUAAAUCAGGGGCUUGGACCAGCAAACAGAGUCCACCUGCAGCGUUACCUGCUUCCAUCUCCGUGGGAUAUUGACUCUCACUCCUACUACUUGCCUUUGCCACAGAUACAGUGUCCACUCUGCCUCCCAUUGUCCACGAGCUCCCCUGUCAGUGUGUGCUAGCGCUGGGUGUGUGCACGCAGUGUUAGUGUGCGAGUGCAUUUACAUCCUUACCCUCGGUCUGUAAACAACAUUAUGUGCCUCUUUGCCCUUGAAGAUGCUCUCUUGCUUGCUGGAUACAUGCGGGCGUUUGUCUCAUGGUGACAAAUGCAAUAUCCUUGUCAGCCAUUAAAAACAGUACAGAAUGUAACACGGACAUCGCUAGCACUACGCAACAUCAAUAAAGCACGGGCCAACUGCAUUCAGAACUGGCUAACUGACAGAUCUCAAAAAUCUCAUUGAUUGUGGGUGUUUUUAGUUGUGUUCUGCAGAGACUCGCCCAAGUCCAGAUGCUAU